AGCAGCCGCGGUAAUUCCAGCUCCAAUAGCGUAUAUUAAAGUUGUUGCAGUUAAAAAGCUCGUAGUUGAAUUUCGAGACCGGUUUAUUGGUCGUGCUUUUGUACGUACUGGUAUUAUUGGUUUCUCCUUUCUGACGAAUCUUAAUGCCAUUAAUUUGGUGUUUUGGGGAAUCAGGACUGUUACUUUGAAAAAAUUAGAGUGUUUAAAGCAGGCUCACGCUUGAAUACAUUAGCAUGGAAUAACGGAAUAGGACGUUUGAUUCUAUUUUGUUGGUUUCUAGGAUCGACGUAAUGAUUAAUAGGGAUAGUUGGGGGCAUUAGUAUUCAAUUGUCAGAGGUGAAAUUCUUGGAUUUAUUGAAGACUAACUACUGCGAAAGCAUUUGCCAAGGAUGUUUUCAUUAAUCAAGAACGAAAGUUAGGGGAUCGAAGACGAUCAGAUACCGUCGUAGUCUUAAACCAUAAACUAUGCCGACUA
rnacentral:rRNA from 1 species